GCAGCCUGUGUUACAAAAGUCCCUUAUCUCACCUACCUUAUUCCCCUACAUUCGCUCCCGAUUUUGUUACUACAAAAUUAUGCAUUAUGUACAUAUUCAUAGACACCAUCCCUUGUAGAAGUGACGACUUAAAGCCUCACCUGUCGAGGGCACUGAUCACCACCCAAUCGUAGGCGGUGGGGCUCCGGGGUUCCGCCGCCGCCUCCGCUCCAUCGGCCUGCGGUUUCCUCCGCAGCCUCCUCCAGUCCCCCCUCGGUGUCCUCGGGGUGAAAGGCGAUUCUGGGGCGCUGGACGGUGACGAUGGCAGGGACUCCGUAUCGACGGACAGCGUACGCUGGAGAGAAGAAGGCGAGCGGAGAAUCGUGAUGCUUCGGGUGAUGGGGACAGGGACGGUGACGGCGACGGCGGGGGUCGAGGAGGAGGGGGUGGAGGGGUAUUUGCGGAGCUUGCCGAGGCCGGUAUCGGGGCGGGGGCCGGCGAGGGUUUCGUCCCAGAGCUGGUCUAACAAACCCAUCCGAGAACCGGAGUUCGU
rnacentral:misc_RNA from 1 species